GGACGCUGCUGUCUUUUAGCCACUGCACAUCCCAGGAGGAGAUGAGCCGCUUCUUUCUGCUGUAAUGGAAGAUUCCAGUCUGACAAAUACUUACUCUACACAAAUUCACAUCGCAUUGUGCUCAGGCAAUCGAGUCACAGUCGGACCCGAUAUAAACAUCAUCCAAAGCAUUCGCUCACAAUAAGCACAUCACAUCUGAACAUCCGAGCUUAAUAUCGCGGAACGGAAACAAUAUAAACUAUAAACACAGCCUCGAAACAUCACAGAAACCGCCAGUCACGCAUCUCCAUCACCAUGAGGGCAGAAUGCUGGUGUGUGUGUGUGUGUGUGUGUAGAUGAACACAGUAUGAAUCCGUGAAAAAACGCACCCUGCGACCGAUGCGCGAUGUCGCUGAGCGCCUAAAAUACAGACGAACGCUCCGGACGAAAAUGCGUUCUGGAGUUCACCGUCAGUUCAGCUCCGUCUCGGUCAUGUGACCUCUGACCUUGGCAAACCAGAUCAGUCACUCCUCGCUAAGCUAACGUUAGCUUCUCAAGCUGAUCUGCAAAAGCCGCGGAGAAAAGGGCACCAGGUGCGUGUGUGUUACGCAAUGAGAACCAACAGGCGAAGACGUCCUGAGGAGGCCGGCGUCCACCGACGGCGUGUCGCGCCCAUCGAGGUCACAAAGUUUUGGCCGCAGAGUAAAAAAACGGCCUCCAGCGUUUUUUUCCGGCCGUGGAUUUGUCACAGGUGGUCAUCGUCACGUGGCGGGUCUGACGUCAGGACCUCUUGGCGCCAUCCAAGCAGUGCGUCGCGCGCGAAGGAGACGGAACCAUCGGCGGCGUGACUCGCGCCCCCGUGGGGAGACGGCGGCGGCGUCUUCGGAGAGGUUAAUCGUGCGAGCGCCUCGCUGUGAG
ensembl:lncRNA